UGGUCAUCUCACAUUGAAGCACCAGUUCCUGUAUGAUCACCGAAGUUAAGCGAUGUCAGGCCUGGUCAAAACCUAGAUGAGUGACCACUUUGGAAUAGUAGGUAACGU